UACGUAGGGCGCGAGCGUUGUCCGGAAUUAUUGGGCGUAAAGAGCUCGUAGGCGGCCUGUUGCGUCCGCUGUGAAAUCCCAGGGCUCAACCCUGGGCGUGCAGUGGAUACGGGCAGGCUGGAGGCAGGCAGGGGAGAACGGAAUUCCCGGUGUAGCGGUGAAAUGCGUUGAGAUCGGAAGGAACGCCCGUGGCGAAAGCGGGCUCCUGGACCCCACCUGACGCUGAGACGCGAAAGCCAGGGGAGCGAACGGG
rnacentral:rRNA from 1 species